GGCUCUGGUGGGGAUGUAGAUGUGGAGGGGGCUCUGAUGGGGAACACUGAUGUAAGGCCUCGUGCACACUUAAUAUUUGGCCCUAGUGCACGAGGCUCUGGCAUUUAGGUGCGGGCAGAGGAUACAGGUGCACCAUCCAGCCCUGCUAAUGGCAGCUUUUUUUUAAAUUCUGCUCUAUUCCAUAGCUGAGGAGUAAUUUAUAAAUGGCUUCUUUUUUUUUCGGCCCGCGAAUAUCUGUAAAAUAUACAAUGUGGCCCUCGAAGUCAAAAGUUUGGAGACCCCUGGUUUAGUGGAAAGAGUAAUGGAAAGUGUUAUUGGAUGAUGAUCAGAGAGAAUCAUAGGUUCAAUGGACGCUGAGAUUAAUGAGUCAAGUUCUGUCUGGUUCAAGAAGAAAUAAUCAAUCCUGGAGUAUUUAUUAUGAGGUGGAGAAAAGAAAGUGUAAUCUUUGGCCUUAGGAUGUAGAGUGCGCCAUGUGUCAUGGAGUGUUAAGUCUUUAAGUAAGUUUUUAAUUGAACGAAGAGCGGAAUAUGGCAAAGUGGAGGUACCUGAAGAAGAGUCAAUCAAAGGGUCCAGAGUCACAUUAAAAUCUCCACCCAAUAUUAACAUACCAGAUUGGAAAUGGGAGAGAGCGUCAAAAGUGUCCCUUAUGAAAGGGACUUGUUUUUUGUUCGGGACGUAAAUGUUAGCUAAGGUAAUGUCUUUGUUGUAAAGAGUACCUUUCAAAAAAAUAUAACGACCUCCAGGAUCAAUUAGGGAAUCUUGGACUCGUAGUGGGCAGUGUUUAGAAACAAAGAUUGAAACCCCUUUUGAUUUGGAAUCCGGAUUAGUGGCGUGAUAGUCAACAGGGUACAAAUUAUUGUGAAAAUUUGGAACAUUGUCGGACUUAAAAUGGGUUUCCUGUAAGAAAACAAUAUCUGCUUUAGCUUUACGUAGCAAUAAAAAUAAUUUCGACCUCUUCUCAGGGAUAUUGAGGCCCUUAACAUUUAAAGAGUAUAAGUUGAUAGUUUGAGAGGAAUUCGAAUUGUUGUUUGGCUGUGACAUUUGACCUUAAGAGUAAUGAAUUGUAAACAAUAGGAAAAAAAAAAAAAAAUUUAAAUAAAAAAAAAAAAAAGGGGGGGGAAAAACCAAAAAAAAGAAAAAACCCACGGAGAAAACCGAUAUGUUUUCUAAACCGUAAAUAUUACAAAGGUUUGGUCCAGAACAAAGUAGUGGGAAUGCAAUCGAGGACAGCAAUGCCCACCACCUUAUUACUGAGAGGGGUUGGAGAGCCCGGAUCGAGAAGAGACUAAAAUAAAGGACCUAUAUCCCGCCGCCACGGUAUAUAAAAAAAUAGGUAUAAUAAAGGAGAGGUAAUCGGAAGAUCAUAAAAAAAAAAAAAAAAAACGUGAAAACAGCAAGGAUAUGAAGAGGAAAGUAAAUAAUGGGAUGUAAUAAGUAAAUGAAUAAGAUAUAAGUUACUAUGCGGCAAUAAAAGAUAACAAAAGUAGAGCCAGCCGACAACGGUGGGAUUGAAUACAAUGAAAACUUACCCAGACAUUGUAACAUAUAAAUAUUUAAUCUAUCGUGAGUGAAGAAAUCAGCCUCUAUGUGUAAGCAAAAUCAGAUUAAAUGAGAUAUAUAAAAAAGAAGAAUAUCUCAGCAGGGUAGGAUUAUUUUGUUAUACUAAACCAUAGAGGAAACUGUGUAAGGAGUAUCCAAAUAUCAAUAGGUUUAAAAGACAGGAGAUUAAAUUAGAAGUCUUGGGUUUUAACCAUUCGUAGAAACAGUGCGUGCAAACAUUUUCAGCAAACAAUAGGAAAUUAACUAGUACACCAAUGGAUUCAAAAGGAUGUAACGAUAUUAUUAAAUCUUUCAAGGGAAGAAAAAAAAAGAGAACAUUGUGUCAAUUAGUUAGUUAGAAAGAAAUAAAUAACAAUUUCCCUGUGUGUAGACAAGAAAUCAAAAAAGGAAAAACAGCUAUGGUCUAUGUGUUAUACACAGAGGAUAGAAUGUAGCAUUACUGUGGGGAUGAUAUCACUCAGCAACAGUUAGAAUAAAAAAAGAAGAAGAAAGGUUAGGCAUAAAUCUGCACAUGUGAACAAAAUAAAAGUACCAUACUGACAUAGGAGUCAGACAGUAGAUAAACAGUCCUACGGGACACAUGCAGAAUGAUCAGCGCUGGUCUUCAGUAGUUGCAGCGUGAUUUUCGUGAGCAGGGAGAGCUGGUUGGUUCAGCGUGCGGUCCGCGUGACGUAAGAGAGCUCCUGUCAGUGGAGGGAGAGCGCCUCCUACGCAGUCUUGCAGCUUGUGUUUCCAUAGCGUUGGAUGAUCCAGGGUCCUUCUUCUUGUGUGCGUGACGGAAUUCCGCGUACCAGUCAGGGACAUCAAUCAGCGGUAAAGAAAGUGCGUCACAGAAGGGUUUAAGGUCCUCAGGUACUUUCAAUAGGGCAGUGCGGCCCUGGUGCGUAGCAGAAAGUGCAAAGGGGAACUUCCACCUGUAGACAAUGCCCCUGCUACGUAGAAUUUCAAGUAGUGGCUUAAGGUCUCUUCUGUUCUUUAGGGUAAUGCUGGACAGGUCCUGAAAAAUCUGUAUACGCGAUCCAUUAUAAGAGAGAUUGGAUUUUAGUCUGGCGUUUCUAAGAAUUUCUUCCUUUAGCCCAUAGUCAAUCAAACAACAGAUCACAUCUCUAGGGGGGUCGGUGUCUUUCCCCCUCGGUCUAAGGGCUCUAUGGAAACGUUCCAUCCCUAUUAAGGACUGGGGGGGUUUACCCAGAAUUCCAUUAAAUAGUUCGGUAACACAUCCAAGAAGGUGGUCGAAAUCAAUUUCCUCAGGGAGUCCCCUAAUACGAACGUUGUGUCUUCGUCCUCUGUUCUCCAAGUCUUCAGUGUGACGUUGGAGGUCUCUCAAUUGAAGUGUAUGGGUAUCCAUUUUAAAAGCCAUACGGCGAAGCACCGUGUCAUGUUGAGCGGUAGAUACUUCAACGUCCUGCACUCUAACAGCAAUGUCGCGUAUGUCGAUACGCAGUUCAGCUAUAGCUGCGGACAAUGUCUCUUUAAUGUCAGUCGCGACUGAUCUAAGGUCCAUCAAACUGGGCUGUAGAGAUCCAAUGUUUGGUAGUUCUUUUAUAUUAUCAGCCGCCAUUCUGGAAUCAAUUUCAAUCAAAACAAGGGAUAGAAGCUCUGACUAAUAUCAAAGUGAGGGCCCCUAGAUAUUGUCAAUGAGGCUGCAGUAAAUUGCUGAUUGUGAUUCCGAAAUCAAUAAUCGUCUUUCCAAAAUCGAUCAAUAAGAUCAGUAGUAUCUUGAGAAUCUAAUAGGAUAGUAGAUGUGUAGAAAUCACGACUAUUUACCCUCCGGUGAUCCGUAGCGGCGGGAGCCAAGGAGUUAAGCAGCCAUCCUCAAGCCAGGUCAAGCCACGCCCCCGGGGUUUUUAUUUCUUGCUAAACAAACGAAAAAGACAGAAAAAAAAAAAGAUUAAGUAAUUUUUCUCAUUCACUGAUGGGGGCGCUGCACUGAUGCUGUUAAACUGGUGCUGAUCCCUGCACUGGUGUGCCGCACCUGCAUGCAUUGCACACGUUUUGCGGGGGGCACUUGCAGAGCGGCCCCAUUCACUUGAAAAAACAUCAGAGGUUUAAAAUUCCCGCUGUGGCCGCGAAGCAAAGCAUUGUGGUCACAGCACAUGUAUACCCCUGGCUGCUGCCUCUGCAGCCGAAAAAGGCGGCAGUUGGAGGGCUCGUGUAUGAACCAACCUCGCGUAUGAACGAGCCCUUAGAAAUGCAGUACAAAAUGAUUACGUUUUUCAACAAUGUUAUGGAGCUUUCACGCUAAUGGUUGGUGCCAGGCUGUUUGGAAUUGUAUAAUGUUGUAAAUCGUUUUUUUUUUUUUUUACUUUUUCUCUCUGGUUUUCAGAUCCUGGUUCUGCUUUUCUACAUCUCCAACAUGAAAUGCAAGAAUGCUCAGGACUGGGAGAGCUUUGAUCACAAGACACAGACUAACCUGGCCUCCAUGCUGAGAUUCGUCCUGGUCAAUGAAGAUGACCUGUCCCUUGAUGACGAACUCAUCCACUUCCUGCAGGAGAAAGGUGAUAACUGGGGCUGGUGUACCGAGAUGAGGAAAAUAAUUCUUCUAUAUCUGGUGGCCUCUGUUCCACACUAUGCUGGACCUACUUGGCUAAUAAAAUCUGUCAUAUUGUAAAGGGUUCUGAUGUUGGAACAUAUAGACCAGUGGUCCUCAACCUUUGUGAGACCAGCGUCUGGU